CCUAAGCUGGGCCACCAGUUGGAGCCAUCCCAUUCAGGGUAGCUCUUCCAUCUUUUCUUAAGCUUCUCUCAAAACUCCCAAGCAUACCCAGAGCUGUGUCUCCUAAGUAAUUUAAAGACCAGUGAAAUUUUUAUUGGGGUUUCGGGAGCAUGGUUGACAUAGUCAGCUCGCUGCAUCAUUAACAAAGCCACCCAACAUGGAGAAACUGAAUCUCUGGAGUUCUCUACAUGGUUUGCAGGCAGCUCCACCUUGAGAGUUUCCUCUUCCUCGGUAAUCAUUUCUUGCUUAUAAAACUCCAGGGAGAACCCUGUGAGUCCCAUAACCUCCUUCUGAGUUAGUUUCAGAUUGGAGGUAGUGCCUGCUCAUCGACACUGCUGUGAGCCAAGCCAGGGUUAGCAGAGUAGGAAUCUGCUGUCUCCUGGCUAGAGGAAUAAAGGCUGCCUGACAGAGGCUGACUGAGGGAGGCUGUCCAUCAAGAGGUAGACCAGUCAGCUGACAUUGUAUCAGAUCUACUGUUCCAGCUUGUGUAGGAGGAAGAUGUCCCACAAUCCUGAUGGUGCCUUCUUAAGCCUGCACACAUGUACUGAUUCUAAAGGAGGCCUCAGAGCACACUGCCUGACCCAUAUGUCUGUCAGCCAUUUUACUUCUGUGUUCUGUCUUCAGAAGAAUUCAUGGCUCCGAGAGAAGGGUAACUUAAGAGGCAUGGCUGGGAUUUGAACCUGGCACCUAUGAAAUGGUAAUUAUUAAACUUGUCCCCGACUAACUUUCAAAGGGUGAAAGUUAAACUAUUGACAUUUAUUAAGCUUGAUUUCUUAUGAUUAUUUAUUUAUUAGGCUCUGUACAAUUGCUGG
rnacentral:lncRNA from 1 species